GAGGGUAGAAUUCAGUGGUAGGGUGCAUGCCUAGCAUGCAUGAGGUGCUGGGUUCAUUUCCCAGUACCUCCA
rnacentral:tRNA from 1 species